rnacentral:ncRNA from 2 species
GUUUCACCAAACGGUCUUGGUGCCGUGUCCCGCAAGGCACGGGUAAAAGGGAAGAGGGUGCAAUUCCUUCGCUGUCCCGCAACUGUAAAAGGUGAUGAAAGCCGCAAAUAGCCACUGGGUAAACUGGGAAGGCGCGGCCGGUAAGAUGACCCUGGAGCCAGGAAACCUGCCAUUCCGAUAAUGUUUUG